AUUGAACGCUGGCGGCAUGCUUUACACAUGCAAGUCGAACGGCAGCGCGGGGGCAACCCUGGCGGCGAGUGGCGAACGGGUGAGUAAUGUAUCGGAACGUAUCCUGUAAUGGGGGGAUAACCAGUCGAAAGAUUGGGUAAUACCGCAUACGCACGAGAGUGGAAAGUAGGGGAUCGCAAGACCUUACGUUAUAGGAGCGGCCGAUAUCUGAUUAGCUAGUUGGUGGGGUAAAGGCCUACCAAGGCGACGAUCAGUAGCUGGUCUGAGAGGAUGAUCAGCCACACUGGGACUGAGACACGGCCCAGACUCCUACGGGAGGCAGCAGUGGGGAAUUUUGGACAAUGGGCGAAAGCCUGAUCCAGCCAUGCCGCGUGCGGGAAGAAGGCCUGGUGUAACGCUUAGUCUA
rnacentral:rRNA from 1 species